rfam:Ralstonia eutropha H16 chromosome 1
CGCGGGGUGGAGCAGUUGGCAGCUCGUCGGGCUCAUAACCCGAAGGUCGCAGGUUCAAGUCCUGCCCCCGCAA